rnacentral:lncRNA from 1 species
CUCCAAGAGUGACUGUAUUUUUAUUCUCGAGUGCUGUAUCAGGAAUUUUCAGCACUAAGAAUUCAUAUUUCUUUUCAUUCCAUGAACCAGAAAAGGCUUACAAUUCUGUGAAAUGUAAUGUACAGGUCUAAUAGGAUUGUACUCUUGCCUGAUGUCACGGUAAUGAAUAAAUGAAAUAGAGAAUUGCUGACACAAUAGGAAACCGCUAGUUCAACGCAAAUAAGUCUCUGUAAAUAAAUCUGAAGUAAUUUCUCUACACAUCUUAGCUACUGCUUUAAGCUCUGCUCACAGUCAGGAGGUGGCAUGGCAUUAACAGAGGAAAAAAAAAAACAAACACAUAUAGCUACCUCCACUGUGUGUUACAGCAUAUUGCAGCUCAAGGUAGGAGUGACUUGAUGGUUCCACUCUAAAAUGCCUUGUUUAGUAACAAACUCCCCUUGCAGCCCACAUAUUAAAAAGUGCAAAAUGGCCCAUCCCAAUCAUGUAGAAGAAGAAUCUGUGAAGUGACGCAAUACUCCUGUGCACAGUUUCAAGGCUGCUGCAACAUGGCUGGCACCACCUUCGGUACAAGGAAGGGAAGCAACUCCUUGCCUCCACAGGGGGAGAAACUACUUCUGAACCAGAUUCUCAGCUGUACUGAUCCUAAGGAAAUGAGUGCCAUUCCUACCACACCUACGGUAAUCAGGCAUAACUUCUGUUAUUUCAAAGGAGCUAAACUCAUUCACAUUGACUUCUGGUCUGGUCCAAACCGCCUUAGCUGGAAAACUAAGCUGUAUGAGACUCUACAGCGAAACCUGGGUUUGCUGUACCAACCAGGGUUGGAAAAUACUUUUUAACUAUCUCCAAUGAUCUGCUUUCAGUUAAAAACCAUUACACAGUGUGACAUGUAAGGAAUAAGAAGCAGCAUGAGGACCUGGUAGUUGCAGUGUUUACGGACAAUCUCCCUGGGUGGUUUGAUUAACUCAGGAGCAGAUGCCCCCCUUUCUUGAUCUAUUUUUGUUUGGAAAAUUUGAAGCUGAUUGCACAUAUGCUUGAAGUUUAGGUAUGCAGAUUUGGAAAAAUCUAAACAAGUAAAUGCAUUUUGUGAAUAUUACCAAGUAGGCACAAAAUGUUUAUUCUAACCAUUGGAUUUCUGCGCAUGAGUGUUUAGCUGAUGCAAACAAAAGAACUCAAUUGGUCAAAUCUUCUUUAGGUUAUGAAAGGAGUUUGUCUUUGUUUCUGUCCUGGUUUAAUUAUCUUCCUUGAUCCAGAUGCCUUCAUUGAGCUGCAUCUGCAAAAUAUUUCUCAGCUGAGGUAUGACUAAAUCUUUCCUAUGAUUUGACCAUGUGGCCAAGAAUCAGAGAACUGUUCUUCCUGCAAUAAGGACUGUGAGAGCUCAGCACCCUAAACCAUUUUAUAGGCAGUUGUACCCCUUAAACCAUUUUAUUGCAAUUUUUCUUAUCUCAGUGUUGCAAAAUUUUUCUAAAGAGGAAAUGCUUGUGAACCACUCCUCAGUGCACAUAUAUAUAUACAUGUGCCCCUCAUUUUUCAUGGGGUGAGACCAGACAGGACAUGUCUUGAAUGCUCCUGGCAGGAAUGGGAGAGCAAAAGGAAACUAGUGCUGGCUAAGACAUCUGAGAGAACUUUGUAAGCUUGAGCUGGUGUGAUCAUGAUACAAGGAUGACCAAGGAAAACUCCCUCUCCAAAGAGAGCAGCAAACAGAAGGAAAGGAACCUUUAAUAAGAAGAAUCAAAGUGCACCCUAUGGUACGUUACCACCUGGUGUGCCCAAAGAAAUUAUUUCUGACUGCACUUUCCAGAGGACAAAGAUUAAGCCCUUCAGGAGGCACGAUGAGGUGUGAUCAGGGAUCACAAACCAUAACAAAAGCAUCAGAGUUGGCUUGUCAGAGAGUUUCUCAAGGUCAUCUCACUCUAAUUCUGAGUCUCUAAGUGUAACUCAAGGCUCUUUAAUUUCCAUUGAACAGAUGAGUGCACAGAGCCCAUGUUUUGAUGCCAGGAGGCAACUAUUCUUCCUCCAUAAAAGUAUUUUUAUUCUGAAGGGUAAUUUUAUUCUUAAGGGGCAAAGGGGCAGGACAAGAAUAUUUCACUGAUGUUUUAAUUAAAUUAAUCAUUCUAAUAUGAAAAUACUAAGAAUGCAUUUCUGUACAUUUUCAACAUUGCGUCAGGAAACAAAAAGAUUCAUUUUGUUUCUAAGGUUUUACUUCAGUUUCUCCCAAUUAGCUGAGCAGGAGUAGCUACACUUUCUUCUCACACUGAGUACACAGACCUGAGUGUGUCCAUCUUUCCAACUCUAUCUGUACUGAAGUUUCCACUAAGGAACUGAUGUCCUAAGCAUUGGCAGUGGUCAUUUUUUAAGGCUGGUACAUGUGACCUAUCUACAGAAUUAAAUUACAUCUCAAGAGAAUAAUUAUUAAGCAGGAAACUUCAUCAGUAAGAAGGAGAAUAACAGCAAAUAGGAAAGUAGAAUUUUAAGCAAAACAAACAGAAUUUUCAAGAAUUUAAAAUUUCCAUUAAAAAUGAUCAAUUUUCACGACAUUUUCCCUGAGGAAAGUCUCAAUAAAAGGUGGCCUUGAGGCCA